rnacentral:rRNA from 1 species
UACGGGGGGGGCAAACGUUGUUCGGAAUUACUGGGCGUAAAGCGCGUGUAGGCGGCAAUACAAGUCGGAUGUGAAAUCCCGCGGCUCAACCGUGGAAGUGCACCCGAAACUGUAUCGCUAGAGUCCCGGAGAGGAUGGUGGAAUACUUGGUGUAGAGGUGAAAUUCGUAGAUAUCAAGUGGAACACCGGUGGCGAAGGCGGCCAUCUGGACGGUGACUGACGCUGAGACGCGAAAGCGUGGGUAGCAAACAGG